AAUGAACGCUGGCGGCAGGCCUAAAACAUGCAAGUCGAACGCCCUAGCAAUAGGGAGUGGCGCACGGGUGAGUAACAUGUGGGAAUAUGCCUUUUGGUACGGAACAACGUUUGGAAACGAACGCUAAUACCGUAUGGUCCCUCCGGGGUAAAGAUUUAUCGCCAAAAGAUUAGCCCGCACUAGAUUAGCUAGUUGGUAAGGUAAUGGCUUACCAAGGCGACGAUCUAUAGCUGUUCUGAGAGGAAGAUCAGCCACACUGGGACUGAGACACGGCCCAGACUCCUACGGGAGGCAGCAGUUAGGAAUAUUGGACAAUGGGCGCAAGCCUGAUCCAGCCAUGCCGCGUGAGUGAUGAAGGCCUUCGGGUUGUAAAGCUCUUUAGCCGACGAAUAUAAUGACUGUAGUCGGAGAAUAAGCCCCGGCUAACUUCGUGCCAGCAGCCGCCGUAACAC
rnacentral:rRNA from 1 species